CAGCAGCCGCGGGAAUACGUAGGGUGCGAGCGUUAAUCGGAAUUACUGGGCGUAAAGCGUGCGCAGGCGGUUGUGUAAGACAGGUGUGAAAUCCCCGGGCUUAACCUGGGAACUGCGCUUGUGACUGCACAGCUAGAGUAUGGCAGAGGGGGGUGGAAUUCCACGUGUAGCAGUGAAAUGCGUAGAGAUGUUGAGGAACACCGAUGGCGAAGGCAGCCCCCUGGGCCAAUACUGACGCUCAUGCACGAAAGCGUGGGGAGCAAACAGGAUUAGAUACCCCUGUAGUCCCUGUCUCUUAUAC
rnacentral:rRNA from 1 species